rnacentral:rRNA from 1 species
UACGGAAGGGGGCUAGCGUUGUUCGGAAUUACUGGGCGUAAAGCGCACGUAGGCGGAUACUUAAGUCAGGGGUGAAAUCCCGGGGCUCAACCCCGGAACUGCCUUUGAUACUGGGUAUCUCGAGUCCGGAAGAGGUGAGUGGAAUUCCGAGUUGUAGAGGUGAAAUUCGAUAGGUAUUCGGAGGAACACCAGUGGCGAAGGCGGCUCACUGUCCGGUACUGACGCGUGAGGUGCGAAAAGCGUGGGGGAGCAAACAGGG